GUGGGGAAUUUUGGACAAUGGGCGCAAGCCUGAUCCAGCAAUGCCGCGUGCAGGAAGAAGGCCUUCGGGUUGUAAACUGCUUUUGUACGGAACGAAACGGUCCUGGUUAAUACCUGGGGCUAAUGACGGUACCGUAAGAAUAAGCACCGGCUAACUACGUGCCAGCAGCCGCGGUAAUACGUAGGGUGCGAGCGUUAAUCGGAAUUACUGGGCGUAAAGCGUGCGCAGGCGGUGCUGUAAGACAGGCGUGAAAUCCCCGGGCUCAACCUGGGAAUUGCGCUUGUGACUGCAGUGCUGGAGUACGGCAGAGGGGGAUGGAAUUCCGCGUGUAGCAGUGAAAUGCGUAGAUAUGCGGAGGAACACCGGUGGCGAAGGCAAUCCCCUGGACCUGUACUGACGCUCAUGCACGAAAGCGUGGGGAGCAAACAGGAUUAGAUACCCUGGUAGUCC
rnacentral:rRNA from 1 species